CAGUCGCCGCGGGAAUACGAAGGGUGCAAGCGUUAAUCGGAAUUGCUGGGCGUAAAGCGUGCGUAGGCGGUUUGUUAAGUCUGCUGUGAAAUCCCCGGGCUCAACCUGGGAAUGGCAGUGGAUACUGGCAAGCUAGAGUGUGUCAGAGGAUGGUGGAAUUCCCGGUGUAGCGGUGAAAUGCGUAGAGAUCGGGAGGAACAUCAGUGGCGAAGGCGGCCAUCUGGGACAACACUGACGCUGAGGCACGAAAGCGUGGGGAGCAAACAGGAUUAGAUACCCCAGUAGUCCCUGUCUCUUAUAA
rnacentral:rRNA from 1 species